rnacentral:rRNA from 1 species
CAGUCGCCGCGGUAAAACGAAGGGGGCCAGCGUUGUUCGGAAUCACUGGGCGUAAAGGGUGCGCAGGCUGGUUCUUAAGUCAGGGGUGAAAUCCCGAGGCUCAACCUCGGAACGGCCUUUGAUACUGGGGAUCUUGAGUCCGGAAGAGGUGAGUGGAACUGCGAGUGUAGAGGUGAAAUUCGUAGAUAUUCGCAAGAACACCGGUGGCGAAGGCGGCUCACUGGUCCGGAACUGACGCUGAGGCACGACAGCGUGGGGAGCAAACAGGAUUAGAUACCCGGGUAGUCCCUGUCUCUUAUAC